rnacentral:rRNA from 1 species
UACGAAUGUGGCGAGCGUUGUUCGGAAUCACUGGGCGUAAAGAGUACGUAGGCGGUUUGAUAAGUCGGGAGUGAAAGCCCAGGGCUCAACCCUGGAAUUGCUCUCGAAACUAUCAGACUAGAAACUCGGAGAGGUUGGCGGAAUUCCAAGUGUAGAGGUGAAAUUCGCAGAUAUUUGGAGGAACACCAGUGGCGUAAGCGGCCAACUGGACGAGUAUUGACGCUGAGGUACGAAAGCGUGGGGAUCAAACAGG